rnacentral:rRNA from 1 species
AGUGAACGCUGGCGGUAGGCCUAACACAUGCAAGUCGAACGGCAGCACAGUAAGAGCUUGCUCUUACGGGUGGCGAGUGGCGGACGGGUGAGGAAUACAUCGGAAUCUACUUUUUCGUGGGGGAUAACGUAGGGAAACUUACGCUAAUACCGCAUACGACCUACGGGUGAAAGCAGGGGAUCUUCGGACCUUGCGCGAUUGAAUGAGCCGAUGUCGGAUUAGCUAGUUGGCGGGGUAAAGGCCCACCAAGGCGACGAUCCGUAGCUGGUCUGAGAGGAUGAUGAGCCACGAUGGAAGCAGGAGACGGGACAGACACGGAAGGGGGUCAGCAGUGGGGAAGAGGGAAGAGCGGGCGCGAGCAUGAGCCAGCGACGGCGCGUUGGUGAAGAAGGACGUGGGUGUGUAACGGUCUUUUGUGGAGAAAGAGAAAGAACAGUGUAAUACCGCGCUGUGCUGCCGGUACCAAAAGAAGAAGCACCGGCUACCGUCGUGACAGAAGCGGCGGUAAUACACGGAAGGGCACACGUCUGAAC